rnacentral:hammerhead_ribozyme from 1 species
AUCCAGAUGACGAGCCCCAAACAGGACGAAACGUGCGUUAUCCUGGAU